UUGCAAUUGAUAAAAGAAGAAUAAAUUUUGGUAAGAUAUCAUUAGCAUUUAAAACAAAAAUUAUUUUUGAAUCAAGUAAUUGUAGAUAUGGUUAGUUAUGAUUGAUUUCCAUAUUUUGCUAAUUAGGAAAUUAGCAUUAAUGAAUUUCGUAGAGUUUUAGGGAUUGAUUUGUGCAAUUUACGAGGGUAGUAGUUAACAAUAUCUAUGUUUAGGCAAGUAGUUAGUACAAUAUCUUAAUUGUUUAUCAAAAAUUUGGUCAUUGUCCUAAAGAAAAUAUCUUGUCUGAUUGAUUUUGUAGGGACUAAACAUAUAAUAUCGAAAUUAAAAAAGAAUUUUUCGACACAAAUCGUCCCCAAAAAUAUAUAUGUAGAUGAUUAUUUUAAAAUUAUUAUUGUUUAUCAGUGAAAGACUUCU
rnacentral:sRNA from 1 species